rnacentral:RNase_P_RNA from 1 species
UCAGACGGCCGGACGGCCGCGGCGUGGUCCCGCAAGGGGCGCGCGUCGAGGAAAGUCCGGGCUCCACGGAAACACGGUGCCGGCUAACGGCCGGCGGGGGCGACCCCAGGGACAGUGCCACAGAGAGCAGACCGCCGAACGGGCCUCGGCCCGUGGCAAGGGUGAAAGGGUGCGGUAAGAGCGCACCGCGCGACCGGCAACGGAAGCGGCAUGGCAAACCCCACCGGGAGCAAGACCAAAUAGGGAUGGCACAGGCUGGGCGACUGGCCGAAACGCGUUUCCGCGUCGCCGUCCGGGUCGGUCGCGCGAGGCGCGCGGUGACGCGCGCCCCAGAGGAAUGGUCGUCGAACGCCCCAAGGCUCACGCCGGCGGGGCGGGAACAGAACCCGGCUUACAGGCCGUCUGACGCC